rnacentral:rRNA from 1 species
UACGGAGGGGGCUAGCGUUGUUCGGAAUCACUGGGCGUAAAGGGCGCGUAGGCGGCCUGAUAAGUAGGGGGUGAAAUCCUGCGGCUUAACCGCAGGGCUGCCUUCUAAACUGUCAGGCUGGAGCACAGUAGAGGCAGGUGGAAUUCCCGGUGUAGCGGUGGAAUGCGUAGAGAUCGGGAAGAACAUCAGUGGCGAAGGCGGCCUGCUGGGCUGUUGCUGACGCUGAGGCGCGACAGCGUGGGGAGCAAACGAGG